CCUACGGGAGGCAGCAGUGGGGAAUAUUGGACAAUGGGGGAAACCCUGAUCCAGCGACGCCGCGUGAGUGAAGAAGUAUUUCGGUACGUAAAGCCCUAUCAGCAGGAAAGAAAAUGACGGUACCUGACUAAGAAGCCCCGGCUAACUACGUGCCAGCAGCCGCGGUACUACGUAGGGGGCAAGCGUUAUCCGGAUUUACUGGGUGUAAUGGGAGCGUAGACGGCAGCGCAAGUCUGGAGUGAAAUGCCGGGGCCCAACCCCGGAACUGCUGUGGAAACUGUGAAGCUGGAGUGCAGGAGAGGUAAGCGGAAUUCGUGGUGUAGCGGUGAAAUGCGUAGAGAUCAGGAGGAACACCGGCGGCGAAGGCAGCUUACUGGACUGUAACUGACGUUGAGGCUCGAAGGCGUGGGGAGCGAACAGGAUUAGAUACCCCUGUAGUC
rnacentral:rRNA from 1 species